rnacentral:rRNA from 1 species
GAUGAACGCUGGCGGCGUGCCUAAUACAUGCAAGUCGAGCGAACGGACGAGAAGCUUGCUUCUCUGAUGUUAGCGGCGGACGGGUGAGUAACACGUGGAUAACCUACCUAUAAGACUGGGAUAACUUCGGGAAACCGGAGCUAAUACCGGAUGAUAUUUUGAACCGCAUGGUUCAAAAGUGAAAGACGGUCUUGCUGUCACUUAUAGAUGGAUCCGCGCUGCAUUAGCUAGUUGGUAAGGUAACGGCUUACCAAGGCAACGAUGCAUAGCCGACCUGAGAGGGUGAUCGGCCACACUGGAACUGAGACACGGUCCAGACUCCUACGGGAGGCAGCAGUAGGGAAUCUUCCGCAAUGGGCGAAAGCCUGACGGAGCAACGCCGCGUGAGUGAUGAAGGUCUUCGGAUCAUAAAACUCUGUUAUUAGGGAAGAACAUAUGUGUAAGUAACUGUGCACAUCUUGACGGUACCUAAUCAGAAAGCCACGGCUAACUACGU